rnacentral:rRNA from 1 species
UACGUAGGGGGCUAGCGUUGUCCGGAAUCAUUGGGCGUAAAGCGCGCGUAGGCGGCCCGGUAAGUCCGCUGUAAAAGUCAAAGGCUCAACCUUUGAAUGUCAGUGGAUACUGCCGGGCUAGAGUCCGGAAGAGGCGAGUGGAACUCCUGGUGUAGCGGUGGAAUGCGCAGAUAUCAGGAGGAACACCGGUGGCGAAGGCGGGUCUCUGGGCCGAAAUUGACGCUGAGGAGCGAAAGCGUGGGGAGCAAACAGG